GUAAGGGAUAUUGCACAAUGGGCGCAAGCCUGAUGCAGCAACGCCGCGUGCAUGAUGAAGGCCUUCGGGUCGUAAAAUGCUUUUCUGACUGAAGAGGAAGGACAGUAAGUCAGGAAUAAGUGUCGGCUAACUACGUGCCAGCAGCCGCGGUAAAACGUAGGACGCAAGCGUUAUCCGGAGUUACUGGGCGUAAAGCGCGGGCAGGCGGUUCUUCAAGUCUGAUGUGAAAUCUCCUCGCUCAACGGGGAGCAGCCAUUGGAAACUAGAGAACUGGAGUCUGACAGAGGUAGGCGGAAUUCCGGGUGGAGUGGUGAAAUGCGUAGAGAUCCGGAGGAACACCAGAGGCGAAGGCGGCCUACUGGGUCAGUACUGACGCUGAGCCGCGAAAGCUAGGGGAGCGAA
rnacentral:rRNA from 1 species